rnacentral:rRNA from 1 species
GAAUUGUARUUGAUAGAAACGUUUUCGGGGGUAGGCCGGACAUAAGUCACCUGGAAAGGUGCAUCAUAGAGGGUGAGAAUCCCGUCUGUGGCCCGGCGUUACCUCCAUGUGAUACGUUCUCUAAGAGUCGGGUUGUUUGGGAUUGCAGCCCUAAACGGGUGGUAAAUACCAUCUAAAGCUAAAUACCAGCGAGAGACCGAUAGCGAACAAGUACCGUGAGGGAAAGAUGCAAAGAACUUUGAAAAGAGAGUUAAACAGUACGUGAAAUUGUCAGAAGGGAAGGGCUUGAAACCAGUCUUGCGUCCAGAAUUCAACCUCCAGCCAUGGUGGUGCAAUUCGCUGGACGCAGGUCAGCGUCGGUUCGCGACGGGGGAAAAAGACCGGGGAAGGUAGCCUUCGGGUGUUAUAGCCCCAGUUUCUACCCCGUGGCGGACCGAGGACUGCGGCGCGAUACGAGGGGUGUCGGGUUCCGGCGAGCGGCCGGCGGACUGCUUGCAGACCGUCGGUACCGGCGAGCUUGAUCCCCGGCCUCUUCACGCGUCUAGGAUGCUGACGAAAUGGUCUCAAACCACCCGUCUUGAAACACGGACCAAGGAGUCUAACGUAUAUGCGAGUGUAUGGGUGGUAAACCCGUGCGCGCAAUGAAAGUGAAACUGGUGUGAUCCGCAAGGCGCAACAUCGACCGGUCUGGAUUUCUUUGAUAGAUCUGAGUAAGAGCAUAUACGCUAGGACCCGAAAGAUGGUGAACUAUGCCUGAAUAGGGUGAAGCCAGAGGUAU